rnacentral:rRNA from 1 species
GACGGAGGGGGCUCGCGUUAUUCGGAAUUACUGGGCGCAAAGGGCGCGUAGGCGGAUUAGUCAGUUGGGAGUGAAAGCCCGGGGCUUAACCUCGGAACUGCUUUCAAAACUGCUAGUCUUGAGUGAAGUAGGGGGUGAUGGAAUUCCUAGUGUAGAGGUGGAAUUCUUAGAUAUUAGGAGGAACACCGGUGGCGAAGGCGGUCACCUGGACUUCAACUGACGCUGAGGCGCGAAAGCGUGGGGAGCACACCGG